UACGUAGGUGGCAAGCGUUGUCCGGAAUUAUUGGGCGUAAAGCGCGCGCAGGCGGCCUCUUAAGUCUGAUGUGAAAGCCCCCGGCUCAACCCGGGGAGGGCCAUUGGAAACUGGGAGGCUUGAGUAUAGGAGAGAAGAGUGGAAUUCCACGUGUAGCGGUGAAAUGCGUAGAGAUGUGGAGGAACACCAGUGGCGAAGGCGACUCUUUGGCCUAUAACUGACGCUGAGGCGCGAAAGCGUGGGGAGCAACAGG
rnacentral:rRNA from 1 species